rnacentral:rRNA from 1 species
UACAGAGGUGGCAAGCGUUGUUCGGAAUUACUGGGCGUAAAGAGCGCGCAGGCGGUCGUUCAAGUCGCGUGUGAAAGCCCCCGGCUCAACUGGGGAGGGUCACGCGAUACUGAUCGACUCGAAGGCAGGAGAGGGUAGUGGAAUUCCCGGUGUAGUGGUGAAAUGCGUAGAUAUCGGGAGGAACACCAGUGGCGAAGGCGACUGCCUGGCCUGUUCUUGACGCUGAGGCGCGAAAGCUAGGGGAGCAAACGGG